GUCAAUAUCAUGUGUAAAAUGUUAGAGCAGAGCAUUUUUUCUGUUGCUUCUGGUCUGGAACAGCCUGCUGCUAUUCCUUCCUGGAACCCAUUAGCCCAUGUUUUCAUCCAGCCUUCACCUUCCACUUCAAGCUCCCUCCUCCCCCAUUUCCAUGGCUCAUGCUCCCUGUGACCACAGACACACUGCUGACAGUACCUACCCUCUCCUUUCACCUUGCAGAAGUCACCUGAACGUCUGACUUGUCUGAGUACUUCUCAGAGAUCAGAACUUUAAAAAGGCAUGGGUUACUAAAUGCAAAUAUUUGCUCGGGUAAGAAACGCUGUCUGUCUGUGCACGUGCGGAGCACAUUCCUUCCCACCUUCAGACUCCAUUUCUGUGUGUGAGGUGAGAGCCUCAGGACCUCUCCCAGCAUCCAGCAGAACGGGGACUGCCAGCUGGGCUCUGGGAAGGGUUGGUCCAGGGAGGCAGCCCAGAUCCCAGACUCACAGAUGCUCACCAUGCCUCCUGUGACAAGCGCUCAGGGUGGGCCUGUGACAUGCACCGGGCCCAGGUGGCUCCCCAGGCCCUGCCACGGGCCCCUCGAAACCACCCGUCCCCUUGUCACCUGCUGGGACAGGGCUGUGUGGGGUGGCCUAUGGGAUCCACAGACACUGACACAUUCUGGACACACAGGCAGUGGCACUCCCAAGGAGGGGAAUCAUGUUGCCAUAAGAUGGACUGUAACAGGAAUAGUUGAGAGCCAUUCCACACCCAGGAAGUUAGAAUGCUCUUUCAGGAGAUUAAAACUACCUGGAGCUCCUUCACUUUGAUGCCACCGUGGUCUGUGAUGAGCAGUGCAGCAUAAGCUGCAGAUUUAGUAAAUGGAGGGAAAUGGAAGAGGAACCACAGGCAUAAAAGAAAAGCAAAAAAAGAUUUAUUGCUAGUCAAGAGGCGUACUAGAAAGCAAUAAAUGAAAUGACAUUCUGUACA
rnacentral:lncRNA from 1 species